rnacentral:rRNA from 1 species
UACGAGAGGCGCAAACGUUAUUCGGAAUUACUUGGCUUAAAGAGUUCGUAGGCGGCGCAGAAAGUAGGGUGUGAAAGCCCUCGGCUCAACCGAGGAAUUGCGCUCUAAACUACUGUGCUUGAGGAACCUAGAGGUGAGCAGAACUGAUGGUGGAGCGGUGAAAUGCGUUGAUAUCAUCAGGAAUACCGGAGGCGAAGGCGGCUCACUGGGGGUUUUCUGACGCUGAGGAACGAAAGCCAGGGGAGCGAACGGG